UGUGAUCUGUAGCUCCCCUUCUGGCCUCCCAGUUCCACUUCAGUGAGGUUUCCCUUUAUUAAUUUUCACAGAACCAUUGCUUCUUUAGGGUCUGGGCAGUGAUCAGUCAGAAGCCAGGUGAAGGAACUAUAAUUGGGAGAAUGAAUACCAGAGGUCCACGGAAGGUAGGACAACGUGUUUGCAAAUAGUCAGCUCUCAGGAGCUCUGCAGGAGUAAAAGGAGUAGCAAAAUAUCAGCCUUUUUAUUGGUGCUACCCCAGAGAGACCCAAGGGAAUAGGACCGUGUGCCUGGGGCCACAUCUUGCAGUGUCUGCAGGAUUACCAGAUGGAUUUAGAGACAUUGAAAUGCUGAUUUUAGUGCUCUUGGCUGCUGAAUGAAGACCACAUUCUUUCUCCUUGGUACUAGGUGCUUAGUGAAUAUUUAUGGAGUGACAUCUGGUGUCCUCCCCUGACCUCCCAUGGUGGUGUAAAAAUGUGUGCAUUAGAGAUUCUCUGAGAAUGAGAAUGAUACUUGGCAUUCAUGCUGAUAUACCCUUUGUUAUAACUUGUCUUCCGUGCUAGAUUUUUGUUUAUGGAAAAUUUCAAGCAUACAAAAAAGUAGAGUGAAGAAGAAAAUGAACUCUCAGAUACCUAUCACCUUGCUCAGUACUUUUCAAUAUUUUGCCAAUUUUAUUUCAACUAUUUCCCCCAUUUUCAGGGUUGGAGCUGGCGUAUUUGAAAACAAAUUGCAGACAUUACAAGCUAAGGAAGGACUGAAAUAAACUCCGAGUGCAAGGACUAUACCUUAAUUCCCUUGGUGCCUAGCACUAUGCCUGAAAAUAGCAGGUGCUCAGAAAAGACUGGUUGAAUUGAGAGGAGGAAAAACAAAAUUAUGAGAACAUCAUCAUUUUGAACUAACCCUAGGGCAGACCUAGAAAGGAAAAGGGUGGUGAGUCUUGCCCUAAAAUAACUUCUUUCAUGUUACCUGAAUUUGUUCUCUAUAACCAUGAUUCCCCUGUCACCUUAAGACAGCCUUGACUGAAAGAGAAAAUUCUUUUUAGGAAGAGUUCAGGGUCUCUCAUUUAUUUAAAUGUUUUUACAAAGAAGUCCAAUCUGAUGAUGUUUUCCCAAACACCAACCAGGAGUGACCUGCCCUAAAAAGAGCUCUUUUUAAAAAAUCAUUAUUAUUUUUUUAAAUUAUAAGAGUGGUAUAUAUUCAUUGAAAGAAAAACAGGAAAUUACAGAGAAAUAGAAAAUAAAAUUAUUCAAUAUGUAAUUCCAGAGAUAACAUCUUGGUUAGCAUGCUGAUAAAAUUUGAGCAUGAAUCAUAUUGGUAAUCAGAGUCAACAGAUAUUUAUUAUAUCCUUGGGAAUGUACUAGGUGUGUUUGCUGUGUCAUCUCAUUAAAUUCUUACAGCCAUGUUGUAAAUUAAGCUAAUUUUUAAAAAUCAUUUUGUAGCUGGGGAAAUGGAAACAUGGGGAGAAUGUUUGCCUUCAAUCUGAUAAGCAGGCCGGGCAGAUCUCUCUUGAAACAUUAUCCCUCUAUAAGCAGCUCUUAGAAAAACAAUGUUCCCUGUCUAACUUUUCCAAGACUGAGAUUUUAUCAAAAACUGUUGCCAAUCCUAGCAUUUAAGCCUCCUGCAAUUAAGUCUGCAAGAGGUAGUCUGGCUCCAGAAAACUGCAGACUUACUGUUACCUGGAGGGAAGAAAACAGACCUCCAGGAGACCAUUUCAGAGACAGUCUCAAGGAAAGGGACAGGAAGAGACAGGUAGAAGGCUGCAUGUUUCAAGGGUUUGUGCCGGGCACACCCAGGUACCAAGGGGAGGAAAGAGACUGAAACGUCCAUGUGAAGGAUGUGGCAGAAGCCCAGGCUUUGGAGCUGAGCACGUGGGCUCAGACCCCAGCUCUACCACUUAGUAGUUGUGUGAGCUCAGGCAAGUUCCGUAAUCUCUCAACCUUCAUUUUCUCCUCUAUAAAAUGAGGAGACCAAUAAUUCUUACCUCACAAAGUUGAGAUGAGAAUUAAGUAAGUUAAUACAAGUGGUUUAGCCCCAGUGCAUGGCACAGAGUAAAUGCACAAAUGGAUCACUCUUCUUAUUAGCGAUUAAUCUUCUAAUUAGUUAUUACUGCCUUCAGCAAGCCCCUAAGCAAGGCCUAAAGACCCUAAACAAGACCCUAAACACAGGCCAUACUGUUUAAUUGCUUCCUGGGCCAAAUCUUCUCUCUUGUGGUUUGAUCCAGGAACCUAACCUACGUUUGUAACAUGGUGUCUAGAGAGAAAUGCGUUCUAGGUUUCCCUCAAACUCAUGUAGAGCUAAAAUUUUGGAAUACUACCCUUAAGUAAGUAAGAGGCUAUCUUGAGAGUUGCUAAGGGUGUUUAAAAAAAAUUAAUUAAUUUUUGGUUGUGUUGGGUCUUCACUGCCGCAGGCUUUCUCUAGUUGCAGCGAGGGGGGGCUACUCAUUGUUGUGGUGGCGGGCUUCUCAUUACGGUGGCUUCUCUUGAUGUGGAGCAUGGGCUCUAGGCGUCUGGGGUCAGUAGUUGUGGCUCACGGGCUCUUGGCGCGCGGGCUCAGUAGUUGUGGCACACGGGCUUAGUUGCUCCACGGCAUGUGGGAUCUUCCCGGACCAGGGCUCGAACCUGUGUCCCCUGUAUUGGCAGGCAGAUUCUUAACCACUGCGCCACGAGGGAAGUGUGAGUGUUUUGUUUUUGUUUUUCACAGUAAAUUGCCACAUCCCCACGUCUCAUUUAUUUAUUUAGUAUUUAUUUAUUUGGCUGUGCCAGGCCUUACUUGCUGCAUGCAGUGCGGGCUCCUCGUUGAGGCACGUGGGAUCUUCGUUGCAGCCUGUGGGAUCCUUAGCUGCAGCAUACAGGAUCUAGUUCCCUGACCAGGGAUGGAACCCGGGCCCCCUGCAUUGGGAGCACGGAGGCUUAUCCACUGGACCACCAGGGAAGUCCCUCACAUCUCAUGUAAAAAAUCAACUUUGUUUUCAUUACAAAAGGACAAAAGUGUGUCAUACUUUUACAAAAAUGAGAGAAAAGGGUAGAAAGCACCCCUGGCUAAUCCCAUACUCCUAACAGAAUUAUUGCUAGCUUUUGGUAAUAUUUCUUUCUAGAGUUUUCUUAACUCUCUAAUUUUAGUGGUAAUCAUAUGCAAGAAUUUAUUUUCUGUUUUUCUUUUUGUUACUUAAGAUUUCAUCAUACGUGUUUUUGUGUUAUUUUGGCACAGAAUAUAUAUUGGUCUCCAUUCUGUCCAUUUAAUUGAGGAUACGUUUGCUGCGGAGAUUCUGUGUCCUGGCUUUAGCAUUUUCCGCACUCUUCUGAUAACACGUUUAGAAUUUGAGGAGAGACGUGGUUUUGGUAAUGCAGAGAGGAUGUGGGGCCUUGCGAAGUAGCCUUCAUCAUCUUAGUGCAUUUACCAUGGUCCAGGGAGGGCCCUCAGCUAUGUGGCCUCAGAAACUGGAUUUUUCAGGAACUAAGAGCAUAGCCACCUCUCACAGGUGAAUUCAUACUAUCCUACUACAUGCAAUUGAAGUAUGAAGUCAAAAUAACAACCCAUCAACUGACAGAAAUACAGUACAGUAGAGUGGUGAUUCCGGCAGCCACCAGUGUGUCUGCCUGUAGGUCAUCCCUAGUCUAGAGUCAUUUAAUGUAAAGUAAAAUAAUAUAACGAUCACAACAGUGAUGGUCCCCACUUAGUGGGUGCUUACUGUGCAUCAGGAGGUGGGCUAACACUUUAUGUAUUAAUAUAUUAGGUCAUCCAGUCCCUCAGUAACUUCUCUAGGAAGGUACUAUUUUUAUCCCCAUUUUACAGGUAAGGAGACCAAGGCUCAGUGAAGUGAUGGGCUCGAGGUUUCAUAGUUUCUGUCUAAACCCAAACCCCAGAUCUUAAACACUGUGCUGUAGUUCUGUUAUUCUUACAGAUAUUUGGCCUCCUGUGUUGGCAUCCUUUUGUGUUCCUUGCUGUCUCCCCAACCUCCUGGGACGUGCCCUGUGCCAUUGUCUCUUUGUGAGGAUAACAUUGAUAACUGAAAAGUCCUUGAUUUUUCAUCCUCUGUUUCAAGGAACAUGUUUUUCCAGCUCUUACAGAGGGAGAAGAGCUUUUGUCUUUUCCCUCAUUUUCUCUUUGGAUCAAAAUAUGCCCUAGAACAAGAGUUCACCUUCUCUUAAAGCUGUGCCAGGAAGGGGCAACUAAGAAAGGGAACCAUUAGGGCUGUAUUUUGGGCUGUGCCAGCUCAGAACUGAGGAGGCACUGACCGUCUCUUCUUUGCUUUCUCCACCGGUGCAGCAUCUGGAAAUGGCUUUUCUUCUGGGGUGAAUGACAGCUGGGGUGAGAACCCAGAGAGAACUCCUGUGGUAUAUAGAUGGUUGGAUCCUUCUACAUCCAAAAUCUCUGGUUUUCUGAUCUCUAACGUUGGAGAACUCCCACUACUGUAAAUCAGUUGGGGAUAGGUUUUCAGUUUGUGCUGAUGUGAAUAAUUUCAGGAUAGGAUUUCCAUCUGAAACGGCAUGUCUUUGUGAUUGCAUUUUAGGGAUUGCUGGAGCGGAACUACCAAGCAGAAGCAGGCAUUGCACUGUCAGUUGUCAUCAGGUUUGCAAUCAGAUUGGAAAAGCUGAACUUGAAGCUUCCUGCCUGCAGUGAGGCCGAGAGAGACCUACUGCUCGCAUAAUAAAAGACAUGAGCUUCAACGUGACUCUCCACCUUUCCUAUAAAUUCCGAUUACUGUUGCUCUUUACUUUAUGCCUGACGGUGGUUGGGUGGGCCACCAGUAACUACUUUGUGGGUGCUAUUCAAGAGAUUUCUAAAGCAAAGGAUCUCAUGGCUAGUUUGAACAAGGGUGUAGUUUUGGGGAAGAAAGGAGCUGUGACAGAGGAAGCCUCUGUGAAAAAAGCAGACCUUAACAACUGCUCUUCUGUGUCUCCACACCUCAAAGGCCAGAACAAGCUCGUUUUCAAACCAGAUCUCACUCUGGAAGAAGUACAGGCAGAAAACCCCAAGGUGCACAGAGGCCGGUAUCACCCUGAGGAAUGCAGGGCUUUGCAGCGGGUCGCCAUCCUCAUCCCUCACCGGCACAGAGAGAAGCACCUGCUGUACCUGCUAGAACACCUUCACCCCUUCCUGCAGAGGCAGCAGCUGGAGUAUGGCAUCUACGUCAUCCACCAGGCUGGAAGUAACAAGUUUAAUCGCGCCAAACUCCUGAAUGUGGGCUAUAUAGAAGCUCUCAAGGAUGAAAUUUGGGACUGCUUCAUAUUCCAUGAUGUGGACCUGGUGCCCGAGAACGAUUUGAACCUUUACAAGUGUGAGGAUCAGCCCAGGCAUCUGGUGGUUGGCAGGAACAGCACUGGGUACAGGUUACGUUACAGCGGGUAUUUUGGGGGUGUUACCGCCCUAAGCCGAGAGCAGUUUUUCAAGGGUUGAGCUUCAUAGAAUGAAAAUAACCCGGCCACUGCCUGAAGUGGGUAAAUAUACUAUGAUCUUCCACAAGAGAGACCAAGGCAAUGAGGUGAAUAUAGAACGGAUGAAGCUCUUACAUCAGGUGUCACGUGUCU